CUAGCUAAGUGUUGAGUGUUUCAUGAAUCCUGGGAAAAGUUUACAGUUGAUAUUCGUACACGAAAUGUUUCUCGAAUAUACGGUUCUGAUUAGAGAUAUUGGGACGGUUCUUGGUUUCGAAUGAAAUGUCUAGUUACCACUUGGUAGGCUUCCCAAGUACUAUAGCCAAACAAUUCUUUUGGUCCAUAGGUUGCGAGUGAGAAUAGCGGCCGCUUAUGGAAUAAAUCGAGAUUUUUAAUUAUAUUUACUCAUAAUUCAUAAUUCCAAAUUUAUACGAUCAGAGUUUGAAGCUAAUAUAAGCAGCACUAUUAAUAAACUUAGAGUGUUAAUUACUGUAUAUUAUAUAUUUCAUUAAUCUUUUAGUUUAUUUUAGUUCGGCAUUCGUGUUUUAUUUGAGACACCGACUUACUCGAUCUCUAUUAUAGUAGCAGUAAAAAGUAAUACACACUGCAAGAGACUAUCCGUGUGUUCAAUACAAAUAUGUAGCAAUAAGUAAACCAGAUGUUGAUUUAAUACUAAGUUCUCAAUUAGAGGUACAUAUUUUCAAAAUUACCCCUUAUAUUACAGAGAAUGAUCAGUUUAGUCUUUGUACAAAUUUCGAAAAAAAAAUACCUCGAUGUUAGUAUAAGUGUAUGCAAGUAUAUCAGUACUCAAAAAUUUAUUCAGCGUGUUUUACAGUAUAGCGUGAAAAUAUAUAAUGUAGUAAAUGUUUCAUUUGUCUCAAUAAAUAAAGUGUACCGUGUGUAUUAAGAUAUUUGUCGAUAGUAAACAAGGUGAACAAAGAA